UGUAAAUACCCUCCUUGGGUGUUUCCUCCCUAGACUUGACCGCGCCAAGGCGCGGUUUUUUUUUGCCCGGA
rnacentral:sRNA from 1 species